GUCGUUGUAGUAUAGUGGUGAGUAUCCCCGCCUGUCACGCGGGAGACCUCGGGUUCGAUCCCCGGCAACGGCG
rnacentral:tRNA from 1 species